rnacentral:RNase_P_RNA from 1 species
CAGUCGGAUAAUCGCGCGGGGUAAAUUAAUACCUUGUGAGGAAAGUCCGUGCAUCCAAGGACAGCUCGCCGGAGAAACUCCGGACGGCGUGAGCCGGUGGAUCGGACCACAGAAAGGGGGUGGGGUAAAUAUAAUUACCUCUAUCCCAAAAGACUACCGAUGGAUUGUGGUUUUUCCAUAUAUCACAGGUGAUGGUGCAAAGGUGAGGUAAGAGCUCACCGGAUAUACUGAGAAGUAUAUGCCAGGCAACCCCCGAGCGGAUGCAAGAUUGAAACAAGCGUUUGAGGUGUCCGCCAAGCUUGAAAAAUCGCUAGAGAUUAGGAGUAAUCCUAAUACCAGACAGAUGAUUAUCGGGAUUUUUCUUCCCCUGCAUAGUUAGCAGAGAAACAGAACACGGCUUAUGAGCUGCUUU